rnacentral:rRNA from 1 species
GACGAACGCUGGCGGCGUGCUUAACACAUGCAAGUCGAACGGUAAGGCCCUUCGGGGUACACGAGUGGCGAACGGGCGAGUAACGCGUGAGUAACCUGCCCUUCACUCUGGGAUAACAGUUGGAAACGGCUGCUAAUACCGGAUAUUCAGCUCCUGUCGCAUGGUGGGGGUUGGAAAGUUUUGGUGGUGGAGGAUGGGCUCGCGUCCUAUCAGCUUGUUGGUGGGGUGAUGGCCUACCAAGGCGUCGACGGGUAGCCGGCCUGAGAGGGCGACCGGCCACAUUGGGACUGAGAUACGGCCCAAACUCCUACGGGAGGCAGCAGUGGGGAAUAUUGCACAAUGGGCGGAAGCCUGAUGCAGCAACGCCGCGUGCGGGAUGACGGCCUUCGGGUUGUAAACCGCUUUCAGCAGGGACGAAGCGCAAGUGACGGUACCUGCAGAAGAAGCACCGGCUAACUACGUG